ACGCGAGCUGGGUUCAGAACGUCGUGAGACAGUUCGGUCCCUAUCCGUCGCAGGCGUAGGAAAUUUGAGAAGACCUGUCCUUAGUACGAGAGGACCGGGAUGGACGUACCUCUGGUGUACCAGUUGUCCUGCCAAGGGCAUGGCUGGGUAGCUAUGUACGGAAUGGAUAAGCGCUGAAAGCAUCUAAGCGCGAAGCCAACUUCAAGAUAAGAUUUCCCACCGUAAGGGUAAGACCCCAGAAAGACUAUCUGGUUGAUAGGUCGAAGGUGUAAGUGCAGCAAUGUAUUUAGCUUAUCGAUACUAAUAGGUCGAGGACUUGACCAA
rnacentral:rRNA from 1 species